rnacentral:rRNA from 1 species
CAGCAGCCGCGGUAAUACGUAGGGUGCGAGCGUUAAUCGGAUUUACUGGGCGUAAAGCGUGCGCAGGCGGUCCGUUAAGACAGGUGUGAAAUCCCUGGGCUCAACCUAGGAAUUGCGCUUGUGACUGGCGGGCUCGAGUACGGUAGAGGGGGGUGGAAUUCCUGGUGUAGCAGUGAAAUGCGUAGAGAUCAGGAGGAACACCGAUGGCGAAGGCAGCCCCCUGGGCCUGUACUGACGCUCAUGCACGAAAGCGUGGGGAGCAAACAGGAUUAGAUACCCUGGUAGUCCACGCCCUAAACGAUGGGUACUAGCCGUUUGGUGCGCGAUAGCGCUGAGUGGCGAAGCUAACGCGAGAAGUACCCCGCCUGGGGAGUACGGCCGCAAGGUUGAAACUUAAAGGAAUUGGCGGG